rnacentral:misc_RNA from 1 species
CUGCUCGUCACUGCAUACCUAUACACACACACACGUACAUGCACACACACACACACACAAAACUGCGCCGUUUUUCCUUGUUGCUCACUGUUCUCCUUUUCCUCCCUCCGCCUCUGCAGCGCGACUCUGCCCCCUCCUCCCCCGUCCUCUAUCUCCCUCUCGCCCCCACUCCAGCACACCAGAUAUUAGCGAAAAGCACGACCACUGCAGCGCUGCAGCGCCGGUCAUUCUGCUUGUCUUCACGAUAUAAAAGGCGCACACAACAAGAAACCACCCGCCGCCAUGGAGGAGACGUACGAUGCGAUUGUGUGCGGGACGGGCCUGGUGGAGUGCGUGCUGUCUGGCCUGCUGUCCGUGAACGGCUACAAGGUGCUGCACGUGGACCGCAACGCUUACUACGGCGGUGAAAGCGCCUCGUUGAACCUGGAACAGCUCUACCAGAAGUUUAACAAGGGCACGCCGCCGGCUUCCAUGGGCCGCAGCCAUCUCUACAACGUCGAUCUGAUCCCGAAGGUGCUCAUGUGCGCCGGUGAGCUGGUCAAGAUCCUGCGCGCCACCGUCGUGGAUCGCUACAACAUGGAGUUCAUGUUGCUCGACUGCUCCUUUGUGAUGAAGGACGGCAAGAUCGCCAAGGUUCCGGCGACGGAGAUGGAGGCGCUGUCGUCAUCGCUGAUGGGGUUCUUCGAGAAACGCCGCCUGCGCAACUUCCUCCAGUACGUGUCCGGCUACAACGUGAAGGACAGUCGCACCUACAAGGGCUACAAUCUGCAAACCAUGUCGAUGCAGCAGCUCUUCAAGGAGUUCGACCUUGGCAGCGACACCAUCAGCUUCGUGGGGCACGCCAUGGCGCUGCAGAACAACGAAGACUACUUGCACAAGCCAGCCAUCGACACCGUGAUGCGGUGCAAGUUGUACGAGAACUCUUUCUUGAUGUACAACCGCUCCCCGUACGUGUACCCGCUCUAUGGUAGUGGCGAGCUUCCGCAGGCCUUCUCGCGCCUGUCGGCCGUGUACGGCGGCACCUACAUGCUUCAGACGCCUGUGGACAAGGUGAACUUUGACGCGAACGGUGCCUUCGAGUCCAUCGAGAGCGGUGGCAAAAAGGCGUUCGCGAAGCUGGUGCUGGGCGAUCCGUCGUACUUUCCGGACCGUGUCAGAUCGUGUGGUCAGGUGGUGCGCUGCAUCGCGAUCAUGGACCACCCUAUCCCCAACCUAAAGGUGGCCGCCAACGCGUGCCAGAUCAUUAUCCCACAGUCGGAGCUGCGCCGCAGGAACGACGUGUACAUCCUGCAGCUGUGCGAAGAAGACAAGGUGUGCCCCGAGGGCAAGUUCAUUGUGAUGAUCGGCACCGUGGUCGAGCAUCCGGGGAACCCCAAGGCUGACCUGGAGGCCGGCCUCAAGCUGAUCGGUCCCACGCUGGAGACGUUCAUUUCUGUCUCUGACUUGUACGAGCCGCUCGAGGACGGAAGCACGAGCCGCUGCUUCAUCAGCAAGAGUUACGAUGCCGCCACGCACUUCGAGAGCGCCGCGGAGGACAUCCUCAACCUCUUCGAGCGCAUCCACGGCAAGCCUUACAGUUUCGAGGCCAUCAAGCGCGCAGGUGAGGAGGUGCAUGCAUAGGCACCGCUGUCGCUGUGCUUUUGUGCGUUAUGGCAUGAUGGCGAACGUGGCUGCGCACUUGCUUUUGCGGCGGCAGAAAAGCGAAAGGAGGGUGCAAGAUGUGGCUCCUUUUACGAAGUUUACGCGCACGAGCACGUGCCUUGUUUGAUUAUACCCUUCUGAAGCCAUGCCGAGUGUACGGCAACCGGCGCAACAUAUCCUGCCAGCGCGCGAGCGUCGCGCGUGCGCCUGUGUUGCGGGUUUCGGAGAGUCGCUCAAUGAUGAUGCGCGCGGGAAAACAAACACUCACGUACACUCACACAUGCUCUGCCUCGCUGCACCGUAUGGUGCCUUCUCCAGGUUGGUUGUGUUUGAUUUUGUGCGGUGUCUCCCAUUCUGUCCCCAUCUUUCGGUCCUCUUCUCUACGCCGCCCCCGCUCCCUGCCACCGCUUUUCCUUUGUUAGGUGGGUUGAGAACGCUGUAGUGUAUGUUGGUGGGCAGAGGGGGGUGGUGGCGGGUGCUGGUGGCAACGGUGCGGGAUGGCGUGCUUUUCUCGCCAUGGUAGCUGACCUGCAGUGUCGCGCUUCGUGCGUCUCUGUGCGCGCGCCUGCGUACUUGUCGUCGCGGCUCUUUUUGCUCUGUUGUUGCUGUUUUGGCCGUCUCCUCCCUUCCUUUGCUGAUUCGCUUCACGAGUGCUUCUUUGCUGGUGCGCAACUGCUUUUUGCUUAUGUGUUAGUUGCUGCUCUCGUGCUCCGUGUUUGUGUGUGUGUGUGCGUUCGAAGGAGAGAUGUAGUGUAUGAAACUGAGUUGGUGGCGAACACGAGCGGAUACGCCGUGCGGACAAGUAGGCGAGAGCGCCGUCUUCACAGUCUUGCAUGGGCUACACCACCACUUUACCCCCCCCCCCUCGCGUCUCCACGACGCCUGUUGCCAUGUGUCUUCUGCGCAGAUGUAGUUUCGAUGCUCAUAGAGAAGGAUGAAAUACCCACCUCCCCCCACCCACGGCCGUCGGAGCGGCACACGGAUAGACGGUGUGUGCAGUCGAAGGCCCCCCUGCCCUCUUCAUCCUUCUUCUGCCCUCUUGCUUUAUGAUUCUCCUUCACGCUUUUUCGCUAUGGGCGACUUUUGCAUCCCGCUCCCCUUUAUUGCGCAAGGAAGAGGUCCUUUACUGCUGUUUUGCGUGCCUCCGUGGUGCUUUCUUCCUUCAGAGAGGGGGAGGGGGACGACUCGAACUCGCUUGUCCUCUUUUUUUUUGUCGUUGUCGUUCGUUUUUUUUUCUGUCGUUUUGCUUCUCCAAUCGACGGUGGUUGUGUUCAAAAAAAAGUCAUGCGUGCGCUUGGCGGAGGAGGAGUGGUGGGUGGGUCGGUGAGUGGGGCACACAAAGGUGUGGGUGGAUAGACCGAUGAGGCUGCAGAGGAGAAAACGAACUGUGACCCUCACGCCCUCCCCCCUCCACCACCAUCUCUCUGACCUCGCCAGGAUAUGUGCGCGCACGUGUUCAUGCUUCAAGCAAACACCUACAAAGCAAAGACCCCCGGAAACCAUCGACAGCCAUUUGGCUGUCCUCUGGCUGCGUUCACGCCAGUAUCCUUUCAAGAGGGACGCAAAGCUCGACGCACCGGCGUGAAUGCCCCCCCCCCCCACACACACCGCGUCAGGGCAGCGGGUAUGCUCUGCGAAAGUGCGAGGGCGAGGGCUAAAUCAAAGCCGAAGGACAUACGAAGACGCACGAAGCGGCGGGAGUGAACUCCCUCUCUCUCGCGCCGCCACCGC